rnacentral:rRNA from 1 species
AUGGCGCCCUCCGCCCUGCCUUCCAGAACCUUCCACCGCCACUCCCUUCGCUCCCAGGACCCUCCUCCUCCGAGGGAGGCCACCGUCCCCUGCUGCGUCUCCCGGCGGCGGGCCGCCGCGCAGCUCCUCCUCUCGGCCGGCCUCCUGACUGCCGUCUCGUCCUCGCCGCCGGCGCUCGCCGCCAGGAGGGGCCGCCGGACCAUCGCGCCGGAGGACUACGCGUCCACACCUGAUGGCCUGAAGUACUACGAUCUCAUUGAAGGGAAGGGCCCAACUGCCGAGAAGGGAUCAACUGUCCAGGUUCAUUUCGACUGCAUAUACCGUAGCAUCACCGUGGUGUCGAGCCGUGAGGCCAAGCUCCUGGCAGGGAACCGGAGCAUCGCACAGCCCUAUGUGUUCACCGUCGGAUCGCUGCCUGGAAAAGAGCGGAAGCGCGAUUUCGCAGACACCGCCAACGGGCUGUUCUCCGCGCAGGCUUCGCCGAAGCCUCCACGGGCCAUGUACAUGAUAACCGAGGGGAUGAAAGUUGGGGGGAAGAGGAGGGUGAUUGUCCCUCCAGACCUGGGUUAUGGGAAAAAGGGGCAGGGCGAGAUACCGGCUGAUGCUAGUUUUGAACUGAAUAUAGAGCUUUUGGAAGUGAUCCCUCCUACAGAAAGCUGA